UGAGUAGGCGGCUGUAUAAGUCAUAUGUGAAAGCCCGGGGCUUAACUCCGGGACUGCAUAAGAAACUGUAUGGCUAGAGUACGGGAGAGGUAAGCGGAAUUCCUAGUGUAGCGGUGAAAUGCGUAGAUAUUAGGAAGAACACCAGUGGCGAAGGCGGCUUACUGGACCGAGACUGACGCUGAGGCACGAAAGCGUGGGGAGCGAACAGGAUUAGAUACCCUGGUAGUCCACGCUGUAAACGAUGAUUGCUAGGUGUUGGGGCGAGAGCCUCGGUGCCGCAGCUAACGCAAUAAGCAAUCCGCCUGGGGAGUACGUUCGCAAGAAUGAA
rnacentral:rRNA from 1 species